UACGGGGGGGGCAAGCGUUGUUCGGAAUUACUGGGCGUAAAGGGCUCGUAGGCGGCCAACUAAAUCAGACGUGAAAUCCCCAGGCUCAACCUGGGAACUGCGUCUGAUACUGGAUGGCUUGAAUCCGGGAGAGGGAUGCAGAAUUCCAGGUGUAGCGGUGAAAUGCGUAGAUAUCUGGAGGAAUACCGGUGGCGAAGGCGGCAUCCUGGACCGGCAUUGACGCUGAGGAGCGAAAGCCAGGGGAGCAAACGGG
rnacentral:rRNA from 1 species